rnacentral:lncRNA from 1 species
GUCUGUAAUACAAUUUUAUGUGUUUUUUAAUUCCUUUGCAUUGUUGAUGUUUUUCCUGCCAGGGAUCGGCAUUCACAUACUUAAGGAAGUAGGGUAUGGUUAGCUAUGAUAUGGCUCUGAGCUGUAAUGAAAUUCUGUGCUAGGACCAGCUUGUCUAUUUGUCUCUUACCUUGACUUCUGAUCAUAGCACUAACCAAACCACCAUGAUACCACAGAAAUAAUUGUUUUAGAAGCUCAAAUCUAAUCUUUUAAAUCUUGAGAUGUGUCACACAUACAUAAGAAUGCAUAAAAUAUAUGUAUAAGGAAUAAUUAAUAGCUGGGCUGUGCCCAGCUUGGCUCACUGUUGUAAGAGCUAAGCUAGAUUGCUCAAGUGUUUUUCCCUCUCCUACCUUGACAUAAAAGUUUUGUCUGUGUCAGACAUUCGUAUUUUCAGCCACACCCCAGAGUGCAUCACUGAUGUUUGAGGUUCUUCACCAGCAAGCCCACGUCAGCACUCGG